AAACCCCCUCGCCGAAAGACUAAGGUUUCCUGAUCAACGCUAAUCGGAUCAGGGUCAGUCGGGUCCUAAGGCUCAGCCGAACGGCGAUGCCGAUGGCAGAAACGGUUAAUAUUCCGUUACUACCUUCAGGAGUGACGUGGAGACGCAGUAGUGACAGUGCCGCCAUCUGACGGAAUAGAUGGUUGAAGGGUGUAGGAGUCGAUCAUGGCAGGCAAAUCCACCAUGAGAUCCGAACCUGACAGUAUGCCGCGUCCUUCGGGACAAGGCAAUAGUGCGCGUAAGCAUGCUGCCGAGAAAAUCCGCUAAACUUAAUCCUGCAGGUACCCGUACCGCAAACGGACACACGUAGUCGGGAUGAAUAUUCUAAGGCGCUUGAGUGAUUCACGGUUAAGGAACUAGGCAAACUGACCCUGUAACUUCGGGAUAAAGGGUCCCUACCCUUUUAUGGGAGGGCGCAGAGAAUCGGUCCAGGCAACUGUUUAACAAAAACACAGGGCUGUGCCAAAUCGAAAGAUCCAGUAUACAGCCUGACACCUGCCCGGUGCUGGAAGGUUAAGAGGAGAUGUCAUCGAUAAGAGAAGCGUUGAAUUGAAGCCCCAGUAAACGGCGGCCGUAACUAUAACGGUCCUAAGGUAGCGAAAUUCCUUGUCGGGUAAGUUCCGACCUGCACGAAUGGUGUAAUGAUCUGGACGCUGUCUCAACCGUGAGCUCAGUGAAAUUGUAGUAUCGGUGAAGAUGCCGAUUACCCGCGAUGGGACGAAAAGACCCCGUGAACCUUUACUAUAGCUUAUCAUUGAAUCUGGGCACGUGAUGUGUAGGAUAGGUCGGAGGCUUUGAAGCAGGUACGCCAGUAUUUGUGGAGCCGCUGUUGAAAUACGACCCUUUAUUUGUUUGGAUUCUAACCCGUGGAUACGGGGACAUUGAUUGGUGGGUAGUUUGACUGGGGUGGUCGCCUCCAAAAGCGUAACGGAGGCUUCUAAAGGUGCCCUCCGGCCGAUUGGUAACCGGCCUUAGAGUGUAAUGGCAUAAGGGCGCUUGACUGGGAGACUGACAAGUCGAUCAGGUAGGAAACUAGAGCAUAGUGAUCCGGUGUUUCCGUAUGGAAGGGACAUCGCUCAAAGGAUAAAAGGUACUCCGGGGAUAACAGGCUGAUCCCUCCCA
rnacentral:rRNA from 1 species